UUGAUCCUACGGGGGGCCGCCGUGGGGUCUCUUUUCCCCUUUUGGGCCCCCUGAUCCAGCGACGCCGCGUGAGUGAAGAAGUAUUUCGGUAUGUAAAGCUCUGUCAGCAGGGAAGAAAGAAAUGACGGUACCUGACCAAGAAGCCCCGGCUAACUACGUGCCAGCAGCCGCGGUAAUACGUAGGGGGCAAGCGUUAUCCGGAUUUACUGGGUGUAAAGGGAGCGUAGACGGCAGAGCAAGUCUGAAGUGAAAGCCCGCGGCCCAACUGCGGGACUGCUUUGGAAACUGCCCGGCUAGAGUGCUGG
rnacentral:rRNA from 1 species